rnacentral:rRNA from 1 species
CACGUAGGAGGCGAGCGUUAUUCGGAUUUACUGGGCGUAAAGCGCGUGUAGGCGGCUAUUUAAGUUGGAUGUAAAAGCUCCCGGCUUAACUGGGAGAGGACGUUCAAAACUAGAUAGCUAGAGUAUGAGAGAGGAAAAUGGAAUUCCGGGUGUAGUGGUGAAAUGCGUAGAUAUCCGGAGGAACACCAGUGGCGAAGGCGAUUUUCUGGCUCAAGACUGACGCUGAGACGCGAAAGCUAGGGUAGCAAACGGGAUUAGAUACCCCCGUAGUCC